UGGGAACCUUCCCUAUGGUUCGGAAUAGCCCAGGGAAACUUGGGGUAAUACCGAAUAAGCCCUUCGGGGGAAA
rnacentral:rRNA from 1 species